GUUUAUGUGGUGUAUGUAAGCACAUAAGGUUUUCGUCCUUAAGGAGAGAGGUUCUUUCCAUAAACU
rnacentral:tRNA from 1 species